CCAAUAGCGUAUAUUAAAGUUGUUGCAGUUAAAAAGCUCGUAGUUGAAUUUCGGGGUUAGUAGGUUGGUCAUGCCUCUGGUAUGUACUGGUCUCACUGAUUCCUCCUUCCUGAUGAGCCGUAAUGCCAUUAAUUUGGUGUUGCGGGGAAUUUGGACUGUUACUUUGAAAAAAUUAGAGUGUUUAAAGCAAGCUAACGCUUGAAUACAUUAGCAUGGAAUAAUGAAAUAGGACGUUCGAUCCUAUUUUGUUGGUUUCUAGGAUUGACGUAAUGAUUAAUAGGGAUAGUUGGGGGCAUUAGUAUUCAAUUGUCAGAGGUGAAAUUCUUGGAUUUAUUGAAGACUAACUACUGCGAAAGCAUUUGCCAAGGAUGUUUUCAUUAAUCGAAAACGAAAGUUAGGGGAUCGAAGACGAUCAGAUACCGUCGUAGUCUUAACCAUAAACUAUGCCGACUAGGGAUCGGAUGAUGUUAAUUUUUUAAUGACUCAUUCGGCGCCUUACG
rnacentral:rRNA from 1 species